CAAUUGCUGACAUAACAUUGAAGCGAUCCCUCCUUCCAAUUACACAACUUUUCUCACUGAAACGAGAUGUCGUCAUUCGCAACGCGCUCGAAAUCCGAACGUUUUUCGCAUAAGAGAAAGUGAGAAUUAAAAAAAAAUAAAUAAGAGUCGUUUUGUAACGACCGCUACGCCAUCCAACCCACCCAGCUGGUUGUUAAGCUGCCAUCAACCAGCCAUUGGCUAGAAGUGGGUCAGGCUGGUUGCGCCGACUCAGUCGCUUCUGACAUAGACCCACUGGGUCGGCUCUAUACUUGUAGGUCGUAUUAGUUGGUCGCUCACCAUUCACGCCAUCACCACCAGAAACGGCGUUCGCACUUUCGUUAACGGUAUGAAAUUAAAUCGUUGAAAGUGUGUCUAGUAUCUCCUGCGUCAUGUACCGAUUACAUGUUGAUAAACCCUCUUGAUGAUACAACGCGUUUGUCAACAAUGAUAUCUUCAGCGUCUCUCAUGGAUACUUCUGCAUGUUUUUUGCCAGCUACCCCAUCGAUGUUGUCUGGACCGACUCCUACACCGACGGAGUAUCAUCACGACACUCCGGACACCAAAGAAGGGAUUGAAGAACUUUGUCCCGUUUGUGGCGACACUGUGUCGGGUUAUCAUUAUGGUCUGUUGACGUGUGAAUCUUGUAAAGGUUUCUUCAAACGGACAGUGCAGAACAAGAAAGUGUACACGUGUGUCGCAGAAAGGAAAUGUCAUAUAGAUAAAAGUCAGAGGAAACGUUGUCCGUUUUGCAGAUUUCAGAAAUGUUUAGAAGUUGGCAUGAAGCUCGAAGCUGUACGUGCAGACAGAAUGAGGGGUGGAAGGAACAAAUUCGGACCAAUGUACAAAAGGGACAGAGCUAGGAAAUUGCAGCUUCUGCGCCAAAAGCAAUUAGCGCGUAACCAAUGUCAAGGGGUCCCGGCGACGGAAGGAGGAAUGAACAAUCCUUUGCCUUCGCAUCCUCCUUCAUUCACAGCUUCGACAGGACCGGCGGGUGUUACGGCCCCUCAACAACUUUAUUCUCCAGAAACCGUCUCUAUGAAACAAGAACUUAUUCAAAUCCCUCACCUGAGUUCGUCUACGAAUUCGCCCGAAUCUUCUCCUUCACCUCUCUCUGCCAUCAUCCCUGUCACUACUCUAGGAAGUCACUAUAGUGGGCCACAACCGACCAGAAUUCAUCCACAAGCACCAGUGGUACAAGAACCAUCGAAAUUAACUUGGGUCACGUCACACGCGCCACAAAACACAACACCGUCGCCUGGUCAUGGUGCAUCGCCGCCUGUUACUAAUGCGGCACCCUCUCCCAAAACUUACCACUACGAUGUUCCGUCCGCUGCAAAUGUUCCACCUCCUUCGGUAUCGUUAAUGACAGGAAUCGGAAAAAUUCCGAAUUUAAUUCGGGAAUUCCAAUCCUGCAUGGCCGACGAUAAGGAUUGGCAGAACCAAGUUUAUAGUUUAUUGCAAAGUCAGAGUUAUAAUCAGUGUGAAGUGGAUCUGUUCGAACUGAUGUGCAAAGUGAUUGACCAAUCGCUGUUCUUCCAAGUGGAUUGGGCAAGGAACAGCAUAUUUUUUAAAGACCUAAAGGUUGACGACCAAAUGAAAUUAUUACAACAUGCAUGGAGCGACAUGUUGAUCUUGGACCAUCUUCAUCAGAGACUCCAUAACGGUUUGCCAGAUGAAACUACUUUGCCAAACGGACAGAAAUUUGAUAUGUUAUGCCUAGCGUUAUUAGGAUUACCGGCAAUGGCUGACCAGUUGCAUCGUGUAGCUACUCGUCUUCAAACUUUAAAAUUCGAUCCUCUAGAUUAUAUAUGCCUCAAGUUCAUUGUUCUGCUCAAUCCAGUUACUCUCUGCAUAUUGUUCCGAGCGCAGAAAUCCGGGGGCUGUCAAACAUGAAGCUUGUCCACGAAGCUUACGAACAAACCCAGCAGGCGUUAUUGGAGUACACCAUGAACUGUUAUCCACAAGUGACGGAGAAGUUUAAUCAACUGAUGCAGGUAUUACCGGAGAUCAAAGUGAUCAGCAUGAGAGGUGAGGAAUAUUUGUAUUACAAACACAUAAACAGCAGUAUUCCGGCACAGACACUACUCAUGGAAAUGUUACACGCUAAGA
rnacentral:misc_RNA from 1 species